rnacentral:rRNA from 1 species
GACGAACGCUGGCGGCGUGCUUAACACAUGCAAGUCGAACGAAGAGCGAUGGAAGCUUGCUUCUAUCAAUCUUAGUGGCGAACGGGUGAGUAACGCGUAAUCAACCUGCCCUUCAGAGGGGGACAACAGUUGGAAACGACUGCUAAUACCGCAUACGAUCUAAUCUCGGCAUCGAGGAUAGAUGAAAGGUGGCCUCUACAUGUAAGCUAUCACUGAAGGAGGGGAUUGCGUCUGAUUAGCUAGUUGGAGGGGUAACGGCCCACCAAGGCGAUGAUCAGUAGCCGGUCUGAGAGGAUGAACGGCCACAUUGGGAAUGAGACAAGGCCCAGACUCCUACGGGAGGCAGCAGUGGGGAAUCUUCCGCAAUGGACGAAAGUCUGACGGAGCAACGCCGCGUGAGUGAUGACGGCCUUCGGGUUGUAAAGCUCUGUUAAUCGGGACGAAAGGCCUUCUUGCGAAUAGUGAGAAGGAUUGACGGUACCGGAAUAGAAAGCCACGGCUAACUACGUG